rnacentral:rRNA from 1 species
AGUGAACGCUGGCGGUAGGCCUAACACAUGCAAGUCGAACGGUAGCACAGUAAGAGCUUGCUCUUACGGGUGGCGAGUGGCGGACGGGUGAGGAAUACAUCGGAAUCUACUUUUUCGUGGGGGAUAACGUAGGGAAACUUACGCUAAUACCGCAUACGACCUACGGGUGAAAGCAGGGGAUCUUCGGACCUUGCGCGAUUGAAUGAGCCGAUGUCGGAUUAGCUAGUUGGCGGGGUAAAGGCCCACCAAGGCGACGAUCCGUAGCUGGUCUGAGAGGAUGAUCAGCCACACUGGAACUGAGACACGAUCCAGACUCCUACGGGAGGCAGCAGUGGGGAAUAUUGGACAAUGGGCGCAAGCCUGAUCCAGCCAUACCGCGUGGGUGAAGAAGGCCUUCGGGUUGUAAAGCCCUCUUGUUGGGAAAGAAAAGCAGCAGGUUAAUACCCCGCUGUUCUGACGGUACCCAAAGAAUAAGCACCGGCUAACUUCGUG